rnacentral:rRNA from 1 species
CAAUAGCGUAUAUUAAAGUUGUUGCAGUUAAAAAGCUCGUAGUUGGAUUUUGGACAUCGCGCGUCGGUCCGCCGCAAGGUGAGUACUAACGGGUAGUGUCUUCCGGCUGAAGGCUGUGUGUGCUCUUCGAGUGUGCAUAGAAUUCAGCCAAUUUACUUUGAAAAAAUUAGAGUGUUCAAAGCAGGCCUUUGGCUUGAAUACAUUAGCAUGGAAUAACAGAAUAGGACUUUGGCUCUAUUUUGUUGGUUUCUAGGACCGAAGUAAUGAUUAAUAGGGAUAGUUGGGGGCAUUAAUAUUUAAUUGUCAGAGGUGAAAUUCUUUGAUUUAUGAAAGAUUAACUUCUGCGAAAGCAUUUGCCAAGGAUGUUUUCAUUAAUCAAGAACGAAAGUUAGGGGAUCGAAGACGAUUAGAUACCAU